UGAGAAGCUUGGUUGGAGGCUCUUGAUCCUAAGAAGAAGACUACCUUCUCCGGAGGACAACACUCAAGGAAUUAGAGAUAACUGAAUCUCCUAUUCAAGAAGAACGAUACAAUAAGGAAAUUGGACCGGGCUGGCCCAAAAUCUCUCACAUCCCUAACAUCCAAAUCGAUUUUAUAUGUCAAAAUCUGCAGCAAUAACCAUCAACGCACAAGCCACAGGGGUAGAUUCAUUUCAGAGGCGGCACAGAUUUGUUAUUCCAAGUGCUUUGACUGUUUUGUGGCUCACAAGCGAGAGGAUAGCACAAUGUAAAAAUAGAUUCAGACUAGACUAAAGCAGUAAUUAAAAAAAAAAAAAUCCAUAAUUUGGGUAUUCUUUAUGAGGGAUCAAUCAUGUAGGUAGCUUCUUCAUUUGCUCGAAAUUCACUAUAUAAAAUCCUUUGAUUACUCAUUGAGGUGUGUUAAUGCUUAUAUUGAUAUUAAAAUACUUUUUGUUCUUUGUUAAGGAAAGUUGGUGUACAUAUUUUUGUUUUGGUGCAUGUGAAGGAUCAAGGAAAUACAAUAUGCCAGAUGAAAUAAUUGCUCAUUCUACACGUGUCUCACCUGUCUGAGUUCUCCACAUUACGGAAUGAGAAGGAUGGGAAGCAAAAGAAGAAUUACAAUCAUGUUAUUACAAGGUAAGUUCAUUUCUUUGGGCGUCUUCUCCAAAGGACAACACUGGAACCAUGCAGCUAACAUAUUGGACCAUGGCAUUUUAUAUAGUCUUUGAUAUAUUAUCCAUACUCUUUACCAUUCCAAAUUUUAAUGCUAUUAAUCAUGCAUUUAUGCUUUGUGGUCUACAAGAGAUAAAACAGGAGUGUGAGCAGCUGAAGAAGAGAGGAACCACCUGCAAAGUCCUCUCUCCAUCUGCAAGCAAAGUCCUGCCGAGCCUCCUUGGAAAGGUCACGGAGAAUUUAAGGAAGGCAAUGGUGCAAAUUCCAAGCACACGGAAAGGAGCUUUCAU